UACGAAGGAUUCGAGCGUUAUCCGGAUUUAUUGGGUUUAAAGGGUGCGUAGGUGGAUUAAUAAGUCAGUGGUGAAAGCCCGGAGCUCAACUCCGGAACUGCCAUUGAUACUGUUAGUCUUGAGUACAGUUGAGGUGGGCGGAAUGUGUCAUGUAGCGGUGAAAUGCUUAGAUAUGACACAGAACACCGAUUGCGAAGGCAGCUCACUAAGCUGUAACUGACACUGAGGCACGAAAGCGUGGGGAGCAAACAGG
rnacentral:rRNA from 1 species